UAUCAGUCGGACAAUAACGCUGUAUCACCUGGUAUCGGGGGGCAGGGUACACCGUACACCGGCAGUGGCGGUACAUUGUGUUGUGAACUGCAGGGGAAAAACACAUCAGCUUCAAGAUGAGAGAGUUUGUGAAAAUGAACGCUGCCUUUUCUGGGUCGAGUGUGCUGGUCGUCGCCGCGGUGUCGUUGCUGGUCGGGGCAUAUCUCGGCUACAGAAUCCGUGACAAGAUGGACAAGAAACAGGGAAAGGACUGUCACUGAUAUCAGGGUACACAUGGAGUAGGCGUGGACGGUGUAUAGAGCAGUGCACGUCGUCGUAAGCCAGUGAGGACAUGGACCUGCUAUUGAGUAUUCAGUAUGUUCAGUACCUUCACGUGGGGGAUCGGUUCAACGUCACUGAACAAUAAACACAACACCGUGAUUCGAAAUCUCCACUUUACGUUGAAUAAAUGAUUUUCCCACUUUUA